GCCCGGAUGGUGGAAUAGGUAGACACAAGGGACUUAAAAUCCCUCGGCCGCAAGGCUGUGCGAGUUCGAUUCUCGCUCCGGGCACCA
rnacentral:tRNA from 1 species